rnacentral:rRNA from 1 species
GCGAGAAAACUUUGCAAUGUGCGAAAGCACGACAAGGUUAAUCCGAGUGGUUUCUGCUAAAGAAACCUUUUGUCAGUCCUAGAAACACUAACGAAUAAGGGGUGGGCAAGUUCUGGUGUCAGCCGCCGCGGUAAAACCAGCACCUCAAGUGGUCAGGAUGAUUAUUGGGCCUAAAGCAUCCGUAGCUCGUUUUGUAAGUUUUCGGUUAAAUCCAUACGCUUAACGUAUGGGCUGCCGGGAAUACUGCAUAACUAGGAAGUGGGAGAGGUAGACGGUACUCGGUAGGAAGGGGUAAAAUCCUUUGAUCUAUUGAUGACCACCUGUGGCGAAGGCGGUCUACCAGAACACGUUCGACGGUGAGGGAUGAAAGCUGGGGGAGCAAACCGGAUUAGAUACCCACGUAGUCCCUGAGCGGGCUGGCAAGGCGCAU